rnacentral:rRNA from 1 species
UAACACGUGGGUAACCUGCCUGUAAGACUGGGAUAACUCCGGGAAACCGGGGCUAAUACCGGAUGGUUGUCUGAACCGCAUGGUUCAGACAUAAAAGGUGGCUUCGGCUACCACUUACAGAUGGACCCGCGGCGCAUUAGCUAGUUGGUGAGGUAACGGCUCACCAAGGCGACGAUGCGUAGCCGACCUGAGAGGGUGAUCGGCCACACUGGGACUGAGACACGGCCCAGACUCCUACGGGAGGCAGCAGUAGGGAAUCUUCCGCAAUGGACGAAAGUCUGACGGAGCAACGCCGCGUGAGUGAUGAAGGUUUUCGGAUCGUAAAGCUCUGUUGUUAGGGAAGAACAAGUGCCGUUCAAAUAGGGCGGCAC